GCCGAAAUAGCUCAGUUGGGAGAGCGUUAGACUGAAGAUCUAAAACUCCCUGGUUCGAUGCCGGGUUUCGGCA